rnacentral:rRNA from 1 species
UACGAAGGGGGCUAGCGUUGUUCGGAAUCACUGGGCGUAAAGCGCACGUAGGCGGAUGUGCCAGUCAGGGGUGAAAUCCCGGAGCUCAACUCCGGAACUGCCCUUGAAACUGCAGUGCUAGAAUCUUGGAGAGGCGAGUGGAAUUCCGAGUGUAGAGGUGAAAUUCGUAGAUAUUCGGAAGAACACCAGUGGCGAAGGCGACUCGCUGGACAAGUAUUGACGCUGAGGUGCGAAAGCGUGGGGAGCAAACAGG